AUUCCAGCUCCAAUAGUGUAUAUUAAAGUUGUUGCAGUUAAAAAGCUCGUAGUUGGAUUUCUGGCGGGAGCGAUCGGUCCUUCACUCAGUGUUGGAACCUGAUUGUCUCCUGCCAUCCAUGGAGAAAACUUAUCUGGCAUUAAGUUGUCGGGUAGGCAAUCUCCAUCUUUUACUGUGAAAAAAUUAGAGUGUUCAAAGCAGGCUUAUGCCGUUGAACAUAUUAGCAUGGAAUAAUAAGAUAGGACUAUGGUACUAUUUUGUUGGUUUGUGCACCAUGGUAAUGAUUAAUAGGGACAGUUGGGGGUAUUCGUAUUCCAUUGUCAGAGGUGAAAUUCUUGGAUUUAUGGAAGACGAACUACUGCGAAAGCAUUUACCAAGGAUGUUUUCAUUA
rnacentral:rRNA from 1 species